UACAGAGGUCCCAAGCGUUGUUCGGAUUCAUUGGGCGUAAAGGGUGUGUAGGUGGCGCGCUAAGUCGGGUGUGAAAUUUCGGAGCUUAACUCCGAAACUGCAUUCGAUACUGCCGUGCUUGAGGACUGGAGAGGAGACUGGAAUUUACGGUGUAGCGGUGAAAUGCGUAGAUAUCGUAAGGAAGACCAGUGGCGAAGGCGGGUCUCUGGACAGUUCCUGACGCUGAGGCACGAAGGUCAGGGGAGCAAACGGG
rnacentral:rRNA from 1 species